rnacentral:rRNA from 1 species
UACGUAGGGGGGCAAGCGUUUGUCCGGAGUUACUGGGCGUAAAGCGCACGCAGGCGGUCUUUUAAGUUUGGAGUGACAGUUGGUGGCUUAACUGCCAAAGUGCUUCGAAAACUGACAGACCUGAGGCUUCAGAGGGACACGGAAUUCCGGGUGGAGUGGUGAAAUGCGUAGAUAUCGCUUGGAACGCCGAAGGUGAAAACAGGUUGCUGGGGUUGUGCCGACGCUGAGACACGAAAGCCAGGGGAGCAAACGGGG